GCAGGGGAAUCUUGGACAGGAUUUGCCAGAAAACUGCAACACAGCUCUUGGGUAGAAACGCCCCUGAUUGCACCUUUGACAGUGAUUUUGUUUUUGUGUGUGUGUGUGUGUGUGUGUGUGUGUGUGUGUGUGUGUGUGUGUGUGUGUGUGUGUGUUUAUAGUGUGUCAGUAGUGAAGUUUACCAGUAUGCCCAAAUAAGGGACUUUGAUCAGCUGGGGUCUAUGUUAGAGACAAAGGACGAUACGCAUGUGGUGCUUUACGAUUAAGGCAUUCAGCAGUAAUUGAGCUGUGGAACAGUCAGCAGAGGAAUAAACAGGUCUCGUGGACGAGCGUGACUGUGGAGGAAGUGUCCUGCCAAAGACUGCAGCAGCUGCUGGACAUAUUGCCCUACAGUGCUGGCCAACACGAUACUUUAGAAGGUGAACCCGACCCUAAGUUGAGAGGACACCAGCUCACUAGCCAGGGUGCAGAGUUCCACCCCGCAAAUACUUACUUAGAGUUGAAGCGCUGCCUGAGUACAACGGAGUUCUUAGUGGUCAGGAUGAGAGGGAGCGGGACAGUCCUGACUGGUCAGGAUGAGAGAGAGCAGGACAGUCCUGAGAGUGGUCAGGAUGGGUUUGCCGUGUCAACAUAAAACAAGAAGGAGUUCCUCAAGUUCCUGAAAGAUGGAUUUCAAGGAAGUGGAUAGAGAGCAGACCGCUGCCCUUAUCUCCACAUCUGAGAACUGGACAAGAGAGGAUCAAAAAUCCAUGUGUGUGUGUGUGUGAGUGUGUGUGUGUGAGUGUGUGUGUGUGUGUGUGUGUGAGUGUGUGUGUGUGAG